rnacentral:lncRNA from 1 species
GUCCCUGCCGCGCGCACGGGGACGCGGGCCCGCGGGCCCGCGAGGCCGCGCGUGAGUCGGAGCCUCUGGGUCGCGCGCGGGCCCGGCGCCCAGGGAGGUGCCUCUGCCGAGACUCCGGUCGCGCGGCCAGCCUUGCAAGGUCACCGAGCGGCGGGCGAGAGCGCAGCGGCCCUGCGGGUGCAAAGCCUCCGGAAAGGCCAGCGGAGCCCAGGCGGCCCUGCGGGAAGCAGCGCGGCUCCCAAACCGCUGUCAUUGCACUUUGCAAGCCGUGCGCGGAGGAGGAAACUCGUGUCGCCCCGAAAAGGCACACGGACGCCAAUUACUGCGGGUUUUUUUUUUUUUCCUUUCUUUCUUUCUGAUUUUGUGCAUUACCUAAACUGCCCCCAAGCCGGGGCGCUGCCACUCAGUUCCCCUACUUUCUUGGUGAGGGGACCUCUCAGCUCCUGAGGGCCUGCGGGGGCAACUGAGAACAUCCUGGAGCCAUCUAGUCGUGCCUCUGAGGCGUGUUGGGCUUAUUUGUGCAGAGAAGAAACGGAUCCCUUAAUGGGGUGAGAUUUUUCCUCCGUGCAUUGUUCCCAUUUCCGCAGUUUCACUUGGCCUCGGUGUUCCUUCCAGAGUAAUGCACCAAAUGAAAUUGGUAGGAGUGUUUUAUGGCGCAGAGUCGUGGUUUGAAGAUGUUUACGCUCUGUGCCGGACGCGUUUGAUGGUGUUCUCUUUAGCACAAUUAAUUUUGCAAAGUUCAGAAAUGUGCCAGACGGAGCCACUGGCACGCAGUCACAUGGCUGUGCAGACACACCUUCCAUAGGGAGCCGCUUGUUUGUUUUCAGAUGUGAUUUAUCUGGUGCGCCAGGGCCAAGGAGUUUGUGAGGGACCUUUGACUGAAAUUCUAGACUUUAGAAUCUACAGCAAUUUGCAAAUCGGCAGGAUGAAGCUUAUUUUCUAAAAUAAAUAUCCCCCGUUAAUAAUGUAACUCCAAAAUGGGCAACAAGACACCUGAAAAUAUACUGCAUGAAAAAAUAAAUUCUUAAUAACAUCUUUCAAAAUAAAGUCACUAAGAGUAUCCUAGUGACCAACUCCACUAAAGUGCAUAUUUUGAACAUGAAGUGCCUCCUGCUGUCCAUGACUGUUUCUGGACUGUGCUGAACCCGCCCCCAUUUAAGUUGGACCAUAUUGCUUUUCCUUUAUCCCCAUUCUUUCCCACAACUUGAGAGACUUGGUAUUCAUAUUGCAGUAUUCUGUCUUUUCUAUUAGACACAGCACCUAUGGCUCACAGAGCUUUUAGGAGCUAACAAAAGUAUUUUCAUUUGUUUUCAGGUCAGAAGAAAAAAAUAGAUUCAAGUGUUUUAAUGUAGAAUAAUAUUGCUAUCUUUGUACCUAAGGUAAACAAAAUAAGAAUGUUUAAUGUUUAAUAACUAAAGAGACUCAUACAUAUCUAGAGUUCAUGAAAAGCAUGGCACAGCCUCGUUGUCCAGGACCUAGCAUCCUUUUGCAUGGAAAAAAAUAGAUAAGUAAACCUCAGACAAGACAACCACAUGAUUUUCACCUUGCAUAGAACGCUGGCCCCUGUGGCCUUGCUCUCUUGAUAUGAAUUUACUAUUUAAUCCUUAUAACACACCUGUGAACUGAGUUCUGUUCCCACAUGUAGGAACAGAUACAAAUUUCGUGGGGCCUGAAGUUUGUGCAGUUUGGGUGGCCCUCUUAAAAGAGCAAACAAAACAAAACAAAUGAGAAUAUCCAACACGGUCCAGAACCACUCAGCACCUGGGGGAACAAAGAGGCCGGGCAGCCAGAAAGAGGCCUCUGUCUCAGCCAUAGUGGCUAAGUUACCUUACCUUACAAAUUGUACAAAGCACACAUGGUCGUAUAAACAUACUGCCUAGGUUUUCUCGUAUAGGGACGGAGAAAAGCUAUCUGGAAGUUUGCCAUCACAGAAAAACCCGCUUUGUAUGUACCCAUUCCACAGGCAAGAGUUUGGGAAAUUCGUCACAAGUUGUUUGUUGAAAUCUGUAACACUUUCAUGAUUCUGUGGAAUGGCUAGAAGAAUUGCAGUAUGCACACUUCUCUAGGAGAAAGAAUGGUUUCAUAUUUACAUAAGAUAGAUACCAUUUGUUAUAAAGAAACCACUUUUAAAAAUAGCAGUAACCAUGUUGGAUGGGACCAGUCCAUAACUCAUGUGAAGGCAUUUGCUAGGACUCUGCCAUCAGUGAUGCCAGAGGCAAGUCAAUUCUUUUUAUCUCUGUGUU